UGCUCCACUCCUCGUUAGAAAGAUCUUAGAGAGUUCUGAUUGAUCACAAGCACUAACAAACUAUUUAGUGAAGCUUUAUUUUAACCGUACAUUUCACUUAAAAGAAAAUAUCUGACUAACUGGAUCGUGAAUUUAGUAUAAUUACUAAAGCGAUAACAGAAUGAUAACGUGAGAUGUACAGUUUGUGAAACAACCAUUGUACUCUAAAAGUUUAACCUAUUAGAGAACGAUGUUUAAACAUUUUUAUAUUUAACACUCUCCCUCACGUCUGGACUCGAAACUUUUUUUAAUCGGCCCAUGACGUGGGCUUGAAUUAAAUGGAAGAAAAUUAAUAUGCUAGGAGUUUGGCGUGACUCGAACUCAGGAUCUCCUGCUCUGAUACCAUGUGAAACAACCGUUGUACUCUAAAAACUUAAGUUAUUAGAGAACGGUGUUUAAACAUUUUUAUAUUUAACACAGUUACAAUGAAGCCUUUAUGGAGUAGUUUUUUAGUGCAAUCUAAAUCUGACCCAAACUCGACUCUCGUGUAGGGAUGUUGGCUAUCGAACAAUCUCCACACCGUUGAUUAAAUUAAUUGCACAUUUUAAGCUAAUGUUAACAAACUUCAAUAUAAUUUUCUUAUUGAGAUUGUAGUAGGUUGAGAAAAAAGAAACCAGUUAAGAACAAUUCAUGAGAAAUAAAGAAUAAUUUAAAUCCAAGUUAGCAAAUAUCUAUUUUCCUGGUAGAAGUUGAGAAAGUAAUGCCCACAUCAGGGAUAGUCCUGCUGAGCUGUUUGAGCAGUACUUGACCUGUCUAGAUCUUCUGAUAUCACUGUUGGAGAAUAAAAAUUGUGGUAUAGUACUUGUAUAUCUAUUAAUUAAGGGCAUUUACUUUGAUAGUGAAGGAGAAUCAAAUUAAUUAUCCCCACUUCACAGCAAGGAAAAUGCUGUAUAUGCACCCUUUAUAGAAGAAAAUUUUUUAAAAUGUUUUGGUCACAUAUGCUAUGUGGCAUGGCCCAAUCAAUCACAAUUGAUCUCUAUGAUUUACCCAUCCCAUCAUAAUUUAUAAAAAAUUAUUUUUAUUGUACUUUUCUCUCAAAUAGAGACAUUGAUUAGCUGCACAUUUUUUAUGUGGUAUGACUGCUACACAGAAGACUUUUUUCUUAUAGAAAAUGUACAUUUUGCACUCUUGAUUUAAGAGUUGAUAAACCUUUUUAGAGUCUUAGUUUUUUUUAAAAAAAAUUUAAUUAGACAAUUGUAUUGACAAGGGUCACAAGUUGCCUAGGGUAUAAAAUUUACAUGUUAUAAGUAGGGUGUAUAGGUAGUAUUGCUCCUAUAGCCAUUAAAUUUUAAUUUAUCAUAAUCUCUAACUCUCACUUUCUUAAUUGUUACUCCAAUUUAGUUGAUUUGAUACUAAUAUUUUGCCAAUACAGCAGUGAUGUGGCAUUUUAGUAAUUGUAACUUUAUCGAUUGCCCCAGUUCCACAUUAACGAUUCAUCACUGUUUAACCAACUAAAUUAGACUAUAGGACUUGUUUAUAGAAAUUUAAAAAGUUCGAGCAAGAAAGUAUAAUAAAUUAAAGUUUAAAAACCAAAAGUGUCACACAUCAGUCUGAGUACCAAAAGUGCAAUUUAGGCUUAUUUUAUCAGUAAUAUAUCUAGUUUAUAAGAGCAUAAAAGUGAUUCCAAAAGUAAUACCACAUAACCAUUAAUCUUUUUCAAUAUUUAACACGGGUCGCAAAACAAAGUUACAACCUCAAUUAAUAGUGGACUAACUAAAAGUCAAAUCCACGCUUUCCACCUCUCAUGAGUCACAGGUUAUUAUUGGAUAAUUUAUUCUAAAAUAGGAUCCAAGUAAAUUUACUUAUUUCCACAUAAAUGAAUACAUAAUCAAUCUUUUUUUUUUUUGAGAGAGAAACGUAGCAUACUAUUUGCUUCGUUUUGCUUCUUUUUUUUUUUUUGAAAAUAAACUUAGCUGAAAAUGUGAAGCAAUUAAGUUUCAAACUUAGGAUCUCGAAUAUUAACCAUCAAAUCUUUUGCCACUUGCGCUAGGGAUGUUUGGUAUCAACCUAUAAUUUUUAAUAGAUCCAGGUUCAAUUAAUAUGACAACUUAGUGCAAAAUAUGAGUCUAUUGCCUACUUACUAGUAAUUACUAAGUAGAGAGGGAGAGAGAGAGAGAGAGAGAGAAAAGGGAAAAGCUUUGGAUAGGAUAAAGUUAGGUGAGAGUAGAAGAGAGCUUUUGAAAAAGCUUCAACAGGAAUCUUAGAAGAGGUAGUUGAUGUAAGUUGCAGCAACCAUGAGAAUGUAAUAACCAAUUAAUGGAAAAGUAAAGGUGGAUUGGUUAUUAUGGAAGGCACAACUCAUCUACUUGUGUCCAAAAUGUGGGUUAGUGUUUUUUAUGGAUUGGAAGAUUGGUUGUUGGGAGAAUUAGGUGAUCUUUUAAGUCAUUGGACAACAGAAUUUUUUUAUUUAUAUUUGGUAAUGGUAGUAUCAGAGUUAAUUUGGUGUUUUUCACAGAAAAUAAAGUUUGAAGAUAUCUAUACACCAUUGUGUAAGUUAUACUAAAAGACAUUUGAGAUGCAUUUCGUCAUAGAUGAGCAAUAAUAUGCACUCAAUGUGCUCCGUGUGCAUGCUUAAUGUGCACACUAAAACUCUUUAUUGCUGAAAUGAAAAGAAUUACAAUAAUUGCUAGGGAGCCACAAAUAAUUCGGUUUGGAUUUUUCGCCGGGACUUGAGCUUCUAACGAAUACUACGUUCAGCAGCUUGGUUUGGACCGAACUUAGAACUGCUAAAAAUAGUCACCUUUUUCGCUCGAAUUAGAGUGCACCGAAUAUUUGAGAUUUCGACUAAACAUUGAAAGGCUCUAGUGAAGAAAUAAUAGCUAUUGCUAAAAAUUCUUGAACUACUUACUAACUAAAGCAACCGAAAACUAAAACGAUCGAAUUGGAUUUUUAAAAAUAUUUGAAAAAUGGUCAUUUCAUUCAUCUCACUCGAGAUAUUUAUAUUCCCUCCAAUCCGACUCCCAGACCACGAAAAUCUUAGCAAAAUUUCGUAAUCUCUUAUUGUAGUUAUCUCUUUUCAAAUUGUAUUCUCUUUCUUUCUAUGCAAGGAAGAGUUUUUUAAAAUGCUAAAUAGUGUGGAGUUUCUAACAUAAUGUUGUUCAAAUCACAUUCAUUCGUCUUCUUCUUUUUCUUUUUCUUUUUUUUUUUUUUUUACUUGUGUUGAAAUUUUUGUUACCUUAUUAAGUAUUUUGAAGGGAAAGAAAAACUAAAAGUUUUAGCUAUAAAUAGAAAAACUGGAAAAAGGAAUAUAGCUUCUCAACACAUGAUAUCUAAUUUUCACUACUACACAGGCAUGAGCAGUUCUAAGAUUGUGAACUCGAACGCUAGGCCCAAAUAUUUAGCCCAAAUAUUAAAGCCAAUUGGCCCACAAAAGGCCGUCGAUUCAGCUCAACAUGCACUAAAAUGGGCAUUGUAAAGAAUGAAACUUAGGGCGCGAUUGUUUCGAAGUAAGCGGGAGCCAGAUUUUUGAUCAAAUGGGAUUGCAUCACGGCUGUGAUACAUACCAGACGUGUUGAGACGUUUCGGACUCAUGUAUAGUCAGAGGUGGUGACUUCGUCUCUCUUCCUCGCAAUGUCACGAUCUGAUCAACCAAACAAUGAAGAUGAUGCGAGGAUGCAAAUGGGUCGGACCAACAGAUAUUAACCAGCAAAUCCUUUAUUACUUGCGCCAAGGGCUGUUGGUCUGCCUAGUAUAGUUAUAAACUUUAAAAAAUUGACAUAGAAAAGAUCGAAGACUAAAACUAGGGUUCUGUCGGGACGAAGCCCAAUCAGCCCGUUUUUUGUGCUUGCAUAUCGAAAUUUUCGUCUAGUCGAAUAAUUUCCAACCCUAUCGGGCUCAUCGAGUCCAAUCCAGGCCACCGAUUUUGCCAGGGCCAUGUAUCGUCCUUGGGCCUUACCCUGUGUCCUAAUAACUUACCAUGUUUUGUAGAUAUUUUCUUAUGCAGUUGCAAUUUACUGGUAUGCUUUUAGCCAUUUCAAGUUCCUGACAACUGAGACUGACUGUCCCUAGAGCAAGUGGCAAAAGACUUGGUGGUUGGUACUCGAGACCCAAGUUCGAAUUCUAGUUGAUUCACAUUUUCAGCUAAGUUUAUUUCUAAAUAANGGAUUCUAAUACAAUCUUAUAUCCUAAUUGCACUAAUAAAGAUCCACUAAUCAGGUUCCGUCGGAUUUCAGGGGAAUGCUGCACAUUGUGAAGGAUUAACGUCUUUCCUGAAGUUAACUUCAGCUUGACUGUUCCGAUCCCCAACACAUUGACAGCUUUUCCAUCUCCAACAGUCACACAUCCUCCACUUGUGUCCUGAUAAGAGGAAAAUAGGGAUCUAUUAGUGCAAACAUGGACAUUGGUUCCAGAAUCUAAUCACCAAUCUAAAUCAUAAUAGGUAAGGUUAACACUAGGUACAAAAGAGACUGACCUAAAAGUGGAGUUGGAAGGUUCACCCUUAAUCAUGUUGACCUGAGGUUUAGGAUAGUUGUUCUGAUUGUCUUGGCCCUUCUUGUAGACAACCUUCUUUUUCUUCCGAUAAAAACAUUUUGAGGCAAAAUGGUUGUCACGGCCACAUACAUAACAGAAACCAUCAUUCUUCUUAUUCCCACUAGGUUGGUUGGUAUUGGGUUUCUGGGUAUAGUUCCGAUUUCGAUUAGGGUUCCUACCUUUAAAGCCUUUACCCUUAGGUUUAAAAUUUUUACCUUUGGGUUUAGGCUCAUGGCUCUGGUUCGGAAUCUCGGUCAGGUUUAUGUUUGAUCGGUUGUUGGACGGUUUAAUCUCUCUAAGUCGGUAUUGGUCUUCUAUUCUAAUGGCUUGGAUUACCGAUCUAAGUUUAAGAGUUUCCUGGGUUCGUCUAAGAUCUUAGGCAAAUUUGGUCCAGAAAGGGGGUAAUUUAUCCAAUAAACAGGUUGCCUGAUAGGUUUCAUCUAGGGUUGAUCCAUUCCUAUGAAUCUCUUGGACAAAAUUCUGAAAUUGGUGAAUUUGAUCGUUUAUAGGAAUGUUGUCUACCAUUCUAAAAUUGUUAAAAUCGGUAAUGGUAAAUCUGGCGACACCUUCAUUAUCUCUAAUGUAGGCAUCUUCUAAGGCAAGCUAUAAAUCUUUGGCAGUUUGAUAUUUCCUAUAAGUUUCAUAAAGUUCGUCAGAUAGGCAGUUAAGUAUUCUAAACCUACAGUGAAAUUCAAUUUCCUCGGGAGAUUUGUCAGUUUUAAGUUCUGUAACUGAGGUGGUUGUAGAAUCAGAUGGAGGAGUUUCAAUAGGUGGAUCAGAAGAAUUUUUAGAAGUAGGAUAAGGAGGUGUUUUUCCAAUUGCAGUUAUGAGGCCUAAGGUGGUAAGCCAAGCCUCUAACUGUUCUUGCCACCUCAAAAAUUCUACCCUUUUAAAUUUUUUUGGUUUAAGGCUAGAAGUGUCAUCGAAAGCCAUUCUAAACAAUCUAGUUGAGGGAAUAAAGAAAUCAAGGAUGAUAAAAAUAAACUGCAAAAAAGGUUCAAAAACCCUUUUUAGAAAAAUAAACAUAUUGUUAAGGUUUCUACCCUAGUCAACCAGAAUAUUUUAGGGUUUAAGUGUUUAAAUUUAAUCUCUUAUGAAAGUUCGUUCAGCAGCAAACAGAUGGCCCAAACAAUUUAAAUAAUUGAUUUCAAUUAACUAAUUUUAAACAGAUAAUAUAUGCAAUGAGAUAAUAUUUAUACAGCAAAUAGAGUUAAGAAACUACUGCAAUAAUAAAAGAAUAGAAAGUAAAAGUGGUAGUGCUGGUUAGAGGGAGUAGUGUUUGAAGAUGCCAUUUAGGCCAAUCGUGGGUUCAAAUCCCAAUUGAAAUAGUUUUUCAAAAAUAUUGUAGCAAUUUUUUCUUUCUAUUUUUUUUUUCCAAACAAAAUUUUACAGUAGCAAAACCAAAACAGUAAAAUAUAUAUGUUUUUUUUUUCCCGAAAAACAGUAUAAAUUAAAAUUAAACUUUUGAAAAGAACCGCACACUUUAAAUAAAUUUACUGUAGCAAACCUUUUUUUUUUAAUUACCAAAGAUUUUAUAGUAGCAAAUUAAAACCUCCGUAUACAAGAGAGCUAAAAAAAAUACUGUAACAAUUUUUUUUUUAACUUUAACGAAAUAGUUUUACUGUAGCAAAACUAAAACCUUAAAUUUUCUGUUGUAGACAAUUUUUUUUUUAGUAACAGUAGAAGACAAAUAAAAAUUGCAAGCAAACUAUAUGCAAUUAGAUUUUAAAAAAUGCUAAUCCCAACUUAAAUUAAUUUUNGUUCAUCACAAUUGUGAUCUUACAAAAUAAUGUAUUUUAUAUCUAUAAAGUAAAAUUUUUAUUCUAAAGAAAAAGACUUAGAUGCUACACAAGUUAUCUCGCAGGCUCUUCAUCGACCAAAUACUGUAUUAUUCUUAAAGUAAAUAAAAAAGAGGCAUCGAGUAAGAUUCUCAUGCAUCAACUUGUCCAUCUAACUACUUCGAGUAAUCGGCUCAUGCUUUUGAAAUAAUCAGCUAUUUCAUUGUGGGUCCCAUGAACUCAACUUUGCCCCCGCCAAACAUGAAGGUCCGUUUGUUUUGGUGUAAGUCAAAAAUAUAAUGUAACUUAAGUUAUGUUAGACCUCCACUUUAUCUACUUUCGACUUUCUCUGCCGAACUCGACUUCCGCCACACUCAACCUCCUCUAAAAAAUUUAUUAAAUAGUGAAACUUAAACUUUAUUUCCUUUAUAAUGGAUUAGAAUUACCUUAUUUAUAAUAAAUUAAAAUUAUAAAAAAUGUAAUUAUAUAAAGGUUAAAGUUUAUAACAGUAAAUUUACCACUAUAUUUAGGAGAUAACGGGAUUCACUUACUUAUAUCAAAACAAACAACAGAACUUAAAAAACUAAUUUUACCAAUACCAAGUUGCAUCAAAACAAACAGAAUUAGUUGAAUUUAACUUUCAAACUGUACAAGUUACGUUAAAACAAACAACAAAAAAAUAAUCACACUUUAGGAAAACUCAAAUACCAUUGCAUUUGACUUACGUUGGAUCUAUAGAUUUGUCAAUCCAAACGCCCCGAAGUUGAAAACGGGCACUGGACAGGAACUCCGCACUCCCUCUCACGCUCCAUACAAUAGGAAAAUGGUUUUGUCGAAUCCGCGAGCAUCAAUGGAAUGCUCCGCUGUCCAAUUUUCUGAUGAGUUCCAUCCGCGAGUUAUGUGCAACCGAACACUCUCUAACCAGGGGCGGAGCCAUCGUAAGGCUCGCAGUCUCAGUGGCUUAUGGCUCUCCUAACUUUUAAAAAUUACAUAUUGGUCCUUUAUAAUAAAAAUUAAAAUAUUACAAAUUUUAGUUUUAAUUUAUUUUAAUAAAACAUGUGUCUCAAUAGUCCUUUUCUUUCAGCUUUUAUAGUCUUGCUUUUUUUUAAAUACAUUAUUGUUGAGGAAAACCCGCAACGAAUAAUCCGAUUGUGACAAAAUCUAACUAAUUUAGUGAUAAAAUUAAUAACAUUAACUUACCAGUAAUCGCUAAAUUCUAAAAAAAUAAAUUGUGGAAGUAGAAUGCCAAAUUAAUUUGAUCCGGAAGCGUGCGAAGCACUGCCCUAAGGCGUAUUCCCGUCCUUCGUGUGGGAUUAACCGGAAACACCGCCCCAAGGUGCGACCGGAACUCCUUCUCCUACGAGCACGAUCGCGGAAGAGGUUGACGGAGACUCUUUCAACACUCGGUGAAAAAUAAUAAAAUGAAAGAAAAUAACAAAUGAUUCUCAAAUAGUAUUCCUUCUCACUGUUAUCUAUGUUUCCAAAGUGUUCACCUCAUAUGUAUAUAUAUAUAUAUGUCCUGUCCAAUACUAUGGACGAGGUAAUAAAAUAUAAAGGGUUAAAGUAUGGAACGUUAGAGCCCACAACGUUCCAACGCACUAAUUAAGGUCUUAAUUAGUGGAACGGAUCUGCGCACGAUCCCCCCCUCGCGCGGAGCGGCCGUAGUUGAUGCGGUCGUUUCGCUAAUUGAUAAUUAAAAGUUAAUAAAAAAAAUUAAAUAAAUAAAAUUUUGGAUUUUCUCCAACAAUUAUAACUGCUGUGCUAGCAAUAGAUGGCUAGUAAACAUGACAAACUCUUUUUCUUAUUAUUCGAUGCCGAAUUUUUUUUUUAUAUCAAACCUAAAAUUUUGGCUUCCCCUUUCCCAACUUUAAUUUUUGACUUCGUCCCUGUCUCUCUGACCCACCGAUGCCAAAAUCAAAUAAACACCGAAAGGUGAAAGAGGAGCCUCGAACCACCAGCUUUAUGGCCAUUACUAACAAAUGAAAUUAGAAAAAGAUUGAUGCCACAGUUUUAGUUGAGAGUUGGCGCUUCCCCCUAUCAAUUAAUGUGUAAAAAAAAAAAAAUGUAUGAAUAGUCCCUGUUCUAUCCCGACAUUGUAACUUGGUUUCUCUACUUUUUAAUUGUACUAUUUAAUUUUCAAAUAUUAGGGGCGAUUUCAAACAUACUCCACUAAAAUUUAAAAGUUUACUCGUAUGCACUUUUAAAGUCUAAAAUAUCAGUUAAAUCCUUCACACAUCUAUUAUCAACUUCUAUUAGUAAACAAUUAAUAAGCUUGUCCGAGUUAAAAGUGAGUUAAAUAUUAGUUAAGUUAGUAAAAUGAUGAUUCUACCCUCGUCUAUUACUUAUAUGGGACAAUAUAUUUAUACAUAUUUUUUUAUUUAGAAUAUAGUAUUUAGUUUUAUACUUUAUAGUAUGAUAUUUUUUUAAAAAAAAACAAUUUCUUAUUAAGUAUGUGAUCUAUGACUUUUAUUUUAUUAUUUUUUUAUUUAGAAAAAUUUCUUGAUACUAAGUUUACUAAUUUUACUACGUUUUUAGCUUAUUACCGGGGGUACAAAUUAAAUUUUAAAACUAAUCCAUUAAAUUUGGACGGUUUUUUGUUAGUAGAAGUAUUCGAUAAUAUUUUUUAUAUUUACAAAGGCAUUGAUAAUAUUUUGAACUUUAAAAAUAAUAUUGGUAAAAUUACAGUUUCUCAGCAAGAUAUUUGGUCAAAUUUUCCAUUUUAAGUAUAUAUGGACUUUACUAUAAGUUGGUCUCUUAUUAAAUUUUAUUUAAACUAAACUAAAAUAAAUUAGGCAUUUUCGAAAAGAAUAAAAUGAUUAUUCAAAAAAAAAAACAGAGAUUAUUUUUUUCUUAAUCAUCAUCUUACUUUUAAUUAAUGCGGUGCCAAAGUCUUGAUUAUCGUUGGACCAGUUAAGUGUCCACCAUCACAAACGUGGGGCCCACACAUGUGAGAUUCACAAGUUUGCUUCACAAUUAAUACACAUAUAACAAUAUAUAACGGCAACCUAAAUUCUCUAUGGAGUCGUCAACCGUCUAUGACGUAGGUGAUAAAGGACACUAGUAAUCGUAAGUUCAAAAUUUAAUUACUUAAUAUUUUUUAAAAAAGCUCACAUUACCAAAUAAUGGAGUACCUUUCUGUAUUUUCAAAAAAAAACUCAUGUUUUCUAAUCUCACAUUUUUUUUUUUAGGGACAAUUGUUUAUAUACCUCUGAAAGUUUUCGAUUUUUCGAUUUACCCCUCUUAGAAUACUAAUAUUGAAAAUACUUUUUCUACGUUCCAACAUAUUUCUAAUAUAUCCCUAGAGUUAAAAUCUGUUAAUGAACUUUGUUAUCUCUGUAAAAUUACUAUUUGACCUUUUCAAAUAUACCCUUCCACCAUCACUGAUUUUCUUAUUUGCCCUUAAAAUCAGGGGCACAAAAAGUAUUUUGAUUUUUGGUCUUUUUCAAUAUACCCGUCUACCGUCACCAACAUUUCUUAUUUGACCUGCAGUUAAGGGCAAAAUCGGCAUUUUAAUAUUUUUUAACUGUGGUAGAUAUUUAACUCACGUUUAACUAAAGGUGUCCAAAAUAUCCGAUAUCCCAUACCCGACCCGGACCCUACCCGGACCCAAACCGGACCCGAUAAAAAAUGAAUAGUAUACGGAUAAAAAAAAUUACCCAUUAAAGUUUCGGGUAUGGGUCCGGAUAUUUUAUACCCAUACCCGAUUUGGACCUGACCCGAACCUAACUUUUAAAUGAGUAGGGUCCGGAAUAGUUUUCAAAUCCGGAUCCGGACCCGGACCCGAUGAAAUAUCCGAUAGUAAAUAAAAAAAAAAAACUUUUGAAGUUGAAGAUUAAUUUUAAUAUGACUUAUAGAUGAUGAGUCACUACGUAUUUUCAUCCUAAUGAAACCCUAGCCGUCUCUUUUACUCAUUACUUUUUUCUAAUUUUUUUACUCUUUGUUUUCUACUCCUUUUUUUUCAUUUCAUUUCCGCCAACAAUAUUUCAUUGUCAUCAUCAUCAUCAGUGUCAUCAUUAUCAUCAGCGAUAAUAUUUCUUUUGAAUGAAUUUUAUUGGACGGUACAACUUAUUAGAAUGCGAGUUUUUUUAUGGUGGGGUUUAUAGUUUGCCUAUUGACUAUUUAAUAAAGUUUAUAAAAAAAAUAUAUUUAUACGGAUAUCCGUACCCGAUCUAGACCCGAUCCAUAUCUGGUCUUGAACGGGUUACGGAAAGUCACUACCCAGACCCGCUCAAAUAGACCCGAUGAGUAUAUUAGUAACUUUAGUACCCAGAUCCGGACCUGACCCGAAGUUAAAUGGGUAGGGUAUAUAUAUUUUUUUGUAACCAUUUCUUUUUAGGAUAUGGGUACAGUAUAUUAAUUAUCCAGACCCGACCCGGUCCACGGACAUCUUUACGUUUAACCCAAGUUAACUUAACAGGAGAUAACUGCGGGGUAUUUUACAAUAACGGUAGAACAUAUGAAAAAUAUUUUAGAAAGGAAAAAAAAAAUAGGAAUAAAUCGGAUAAUUUCAAACAUAUGAGGAGUAUAUAAGUAAUUAUUCCUUUUUUUUUAUAAAAAAGAAAGAUGUAAGUAAUCUUUCUGUUUCCCUGUUUCCCCCAAAGAAAAAAUAAAACUCAAUCAAGAAGGUAACAUAGUUUGUCACCUUUCUGUCUCUUAAAAAAAAAAAAAAAUCAUGUUUUUUGGUCUCAUAUUUUAUUUUUUUUAAAUGAAGUAGAUAAUAUAGAAUCUUUCUAUCUCUCAAAAGAAAAACUCAAUAAAACAGAUAAGAUCAUACCUUUUUGCCUUAAAAAAAAAUUGUAAUUUUGUUCUAUUUUUUUUGUUUUUGGUAACGCGCCAAUAAUUCCAAACUUGUAGAAGGUUGGUGCUUCUCGUGCUAUGUAAUAAUAUUGUAUUAAAAAAUUGAAUUUGACUCCUGUCAAAUAAAUAAUAACUAUUGGGAUCAGUAGUAACUCAGACAAAUCCUAUACAAAACUUCUGCGUCUCACCAUGGCGUGUAAAAUUUUAAACACUUUUAUUUAUUAUUAGAUACUUAAUUAUUAAUGACUAAACCUAAAAACAGAAACAAACAUACAGCCAAAUAGAUGUUAUAAAUUAUUUGCACGAAACCUAUCUCCCUAAAUUCCAAUUUAUGAAACCUUGACUUGUUCAAUUUUAAUAUCUUAAAUAACAGCACAACGUUUUCGUGCUAAAGAAUGAAAAAUGACAGCAUUUGAAUUUUUUUUUUUUACCUCUUGCUUUUUUCUGUUUUUUAUUUUAUUUUUUAUGAGAACAACAUUUGAUUUUGGGUCUACACUCAAAGCAUUUAGUGGCACCACUAUUUUUUUUUUCUAUUUUUAUUCUUAAGCUUCAUUUAGGAUUGUAGGAAGAAUAAUUAAUUGUAUUACGGGCAAUAAAAAAAAGUAUGGUGAAAAAAUACUCUAUUUAUUUUAUACGUAAUAUUAUAUUCUGCAUAUUGCAACGCAUCAAAUAUCUACAAAAUAUAUUUUAUGGAGAAACAUAUUCUUAUAUAUUUUUGUCCCAAUUCCGUUUUGCCUAUUAGCUAAGAUAAAACUCAAUAUCAAACAGACUUAUAUUAUAAAAUAAUUUGUUGAAUAUAAAUAUUAAAAAUAUUGUUCACUUAAAUUUUAGUGACAAAUGGUUGUUCAUGUAAAGGAACAAAAAUUUCAAUAUUUUAUAUUCAAUAAUAUCACAACUGCAAAAAACCAAGAUAAGAUAGUUUGCUUGUAGUUGCUUUGAUUAUUUUUUUUAAAAAAAAUUUACCAAGUUAAUUUUAUGAUUCUUUUUAUUGCAAAUAUUCACAAAAUUGAUCAUAUUAAUUACCAAAGAGAAUUAUUAUAAAACAGAAAAAAAAAAUUAUGAUCCUGUAAUUAAAACAACUAAUUGUUCUAAAAACUUAAUUUAAUAAUUGAAUACUCAAAAUAAAAUUAAUUAAGGUGACAUAACAUGAUGGUUCUGUUACAUCCAAAUUGAAUCGAAAGUAAAAGAGAACAAGUGAAAAACAUGCCCUAAAAUUCUUCAAUCUCAAAAAGGUUUUAUUAAUUUCUUAAUACUAUAGAUUCGAUUACUUAAUUCAACAUAUUUUCCUUUGACUUUUCCGUGUUUUUCUUUGAACCCUAUUAUAAGAAAUCGUUCUCAACAUAAAUAGCUUGUGAAUUGUGAUGCACGUGUCCAACCACAUUAUUUAAUCCCACAAGAAAUGAAGAACCUCUCAUAUCUAGUCACAUUUAGUUGCCAUGUUUUUUUUUUUUUUUAAUUCUCUCAUUAAUAACUCAUUUUGAUAAAUCUCUCAUUAAUUUAAUUUGAUAAAAUUUUAAUAUAUAUACAUGUUUUCUUUUGAGCUUGUCACAUAUCAUGUUUACUUUUUUUAAAAAAAAGAAUAAGAUAACAUGCCACUUGCUUCAUUUAGUUUUAUUAUAAAUAAAUUUGGCUGAAAAUGUAAAGCAAUUAGAUUUUAAACUUGGGGCCUCGGAUUUGCACUGAAAUGGUCGGUUUCAUAUAUUUUGUUGUACAUCUCCAAAUUACUCUCUCUCAGAAGAGAUAGAGAGAGAUCGACUAUAUUUAUUUUUGUGAUUUUUUUAGGAAACUCUCAGUGUAUAUUUUUUUAUACAAUUUUCUUAAUAACUUUUUGUUACAAUAAAAUUUACAAGUAUUUUGAAUCCUAUUCAUAAAAAUUAUAUAAGUUAUUAAGAUUAACUGAUGAAUGCAAAGUUUGGGAAUUGAUUGUAUUUUUGCCAUCCAAAUUUGACCACUAUUUUGUGGUCUGUUGACCGUUGAUUUUUCAGUAUUAGGACCAUUAUAAUGACCAAAAAGGACAUUUUUUUAAACUAAUUUAAGAUUUAUAUUUUAUGUAGAAUAACAUAAGAGAUGGAAUAGAAAAAUUAGAAAUUACAAAAAAUGACUAAGAGUGUUUAAAAAGAUCCUCAUUUAAAGGUAAAACAGUAAUUAAUUUUUAAUUACUAAAAAUCCAAAUUUAAAUGGUCGACUAAUAAAUGGUGAUAAAUUACAAUUUUUGAUUAUCCGUGACGAUUAAUUAUCAAAUUAACAUUUCUGAGGAAACAAUCUAUAAUUUAGUAUAAGAAUGUACAACUUAAACACCGGCUAAACAUGUGAGCUCUAGCAAAUAAUCUCCUAAACUUUUAAUUUUGCAAUUAAAUCCUUUAGACUUUAUUAAACAGUACUAUAGCUUACAUAUGAUCUUGCGAAGUUUCAAAAUAUAGUAAAAUCUAUCUUAUCUUUUCAAACGCUUGAAAAAAAGAUAAUAAAAAUCAAAUAUACAUUUUGCAUAUUAUUCAAUUCUUAGCAUAUUAUUCAAUUCUUAAAGCCUAACUAAAAUACUAUUGAUAGUAGAUGAAUAAUAUUUACUAUCAACUUUUAAAAUUCUUGGAUUCAUAAUAGUACUAUCACCAAAUAGUAAACCUUAAAAGCAUCCAAAUGAUAAAACAUUGAUAGCAAUCAUUAUUCCUCUUCUAUCAAUAGUAUAAUUAUGAUGCUUAAAUUUUAUCCGCAAAAAGAAAAGUAGGAUUAUUUGUGAUCAUAUGCAAGGUAUUCAUUGGCGCCGCCAUUUGAUGAAAUUUAGAAAAUCUGGUUGGCAAAAUUAAAAGUUUUGAGUGUGAUAGAAAUCACCUGAAUUCAUUCCUUCUAGCAUUUUGCAGUGAUUAGUUCACAAAUUCUUUCUGAUGCUUAAAUUUUGUCCCCGAAAAGAAAAGUAGGAUUAUUUGUGAUCAUAUGCAAGGUAUUCAUUGGCGCCGCUGUUUGAUAAAAUUUAGAAAAUUUAGUUGGCAAAAUUAAAAGUCCAGAGUGUGACAGAAAUCACCUGAAUUCAUUCCUUCUAGCAUUUUGUAGUGAUUAGUUCACAAAUUUUUUCUGAUGCUUAAAUUUUAUCCGUGAAAAGAAAAGUAGGAUUAUUUGUCAUGAUCAUAUGCAAGGUAUUUUAUUGGUGCCGCCAUUUGAUUAAAUUUAGAAAAUCCAGUUAGCAAAAUUAAAAGUUCAGAGUGUGUGAUAGAAAUCACCUAACUUCAUUCCUUCUAGCAUUUUGCAAUGAUUAGCUGACAAAUUUUUUCUGAUGCUUAAAUUUUGUGCGCAAAAAGAAAAGUAAAAUUAUUUGUGAUCAUAUAUGCAAGGUAUCAUUAAUUGGCGCCGCCAUUUGAUGAAAUUUAGAAAAUCUAGUUGGCAAAAUUAAAAGUUUAGAGUGUGACAGAAAUCACUUGAAUUCAUUCCUUCUAGCAUUUUGCAGGGAUUAUAUAGUUGACAAUUUUUUUUUUGAUGCUUAAAUUUUGUCUGCGAAAAGAAAAUUAGGAUUAUUUGUGAUCAUAUACAAGGUAUUCAUUGGCGCCGCCAUUUGAUGAAAUUUAGAAAAUCUAGUUGGCAAAAUUAAAAGUUUUGAGUGUGAUAGAAAUCACCUGAAUUCAUUCCUUCUAGCAUUUUGCUUUGAUUAGCUCACAAAUUUUUUCUGAUGCUUAAAUUUUGUCUCCGAAAAGAAAAGUAGGAUUAUUUGUGAUCAUAUGCAAGGUAUUCAUUGGCGCCGCUGUUUGAUAAAAUUUAGAAAAUCUAGUUGGCAAAAUUAAAAGUUCAGAGUGUGACAGAAAUCACUUAAAUUCAUUCCUUCUAGCAAUUUGUAGGGAUUAUAUAGUUGACAAAUUUUUUCUGAUGCUUAAAUUUUGUCCGCGAAACGAAAAGUAGGGAUUAUUUGUGAUCAUAUAUAUGCAAGGUAUUCAUUGGCGCCGCCAUUUGAUGAAAUUUAGAAAAUCUAGUUGGUAAAAUUAAAAGUUCAGAGUGUGACAGAAAUCAUCAGAAUUCAUUCCUUCUAGCAUUCUGCAGGGAUUAGUUGACAAGUUUUUGCUUUCUUAUUUAUUCAUUUAUUACAGAUCUGAAACAGGCAAGCCACCAAUCACACAGCAACCUAUAACUACUCAGACAACUCUUGUGUUGGGGAAUCUCCCCACCUACAUUUGCGCUCACAAGGGAUCAAAAGGGAAUAUAAUCCCACAUAUUCCACCAUUUCCCUUUCCCCCUCCCUCUUUCUCUCCUUUCCCAUCACUCAAACUAAAUUACACCACCAAUCAAAUCCUAGCAUUUCAUGAUACACACAAUAAGAGAGAGAGAAAGAAAAGAAACCAACUUAGCUUUUCUCCUCCUCUCCCCUCUCUCUCUCUCUCUCUCUCUCUCUCUCUCUCUCUCUCUCAACAUCUUGGGUAUGUCACAAGUUAUGCUCAUCUCAAAAGGAAAUUGAAGGUUUUGUGUUUGUGUUUGAAAUGAACUCAAGUGUGAUCUUGUUUUUGCUGCUGCUGCUGCUGCUGCAGAGAGGAGGAUGGGCUCCGAGGACUCGUCGACCGCGGCGGGAAGCAGCGAGUUCGGCUUGAGGAAGCGGGGAGGCAAGAAGAGGAAGUGGGAGCUGGUCGAGUUCGACGCGUUGCCGGAUUAUUUGAAGGACAAUGAGUUCAUUGUAGGGCACUACAGAUGCGAGUGGCCUCUCAAGGAGACCAUCCUCAGCAUCUUCUCCAUCCACAAUGAGACCCUCAAUGUUUGGUCGUACGUAACGCAAUUUCCUCUCCUCUUAAUUCAAUCACUAACAUUUCUUCUUUCGUAUUCUCCGCUUACGCUUACGGUCUGUUCGGUCUAAAUUAUGCGCAAAGUAUUUAUUACCAGUAAAGUUAACUUUUACGUGUUAUAACUAUUCUUGUUAUCAUGAUAAUUAUGUGGCUGUACUGUAAGGUAUAGUAUUAUUUAAUAAAAUAAUGUCUAUACAACACUAUUAGAAAGAAAAAAGAAAAAAAUCAUACAAGUAAAAUCCUCACUAGCUUCUUUCCGCGGCAGAAUCAGAAAUGUCAUAUCGCAAGUUUCGCUAGCGAGGCUCACAAUCUCAUAUUUACUAAUUUUGAACUUUUCUAUCAGCCAAACACUCUGCUCAUGUUGAAAACAAAAGCAGAAGCGUACGAUCAUAUUAACACGUCCUUAGACUAAGUUCUAUCAAAUCUAAUUAACACUUUCUCUUUCUUUUUGGGUGUUUAUAGGCAUCUAAUUGGGUUUCUCAUCUUUAUGAUCCUAACCAUAUUCACCACAAUGGUGACACCCAAAGAAGAGAGGAAUAUCCCUUCAAUGAGGCAGUGCAUGGGUUUGGUGGAGACCAACAUGACAGCAGAGGGGGAGGCAUGCAUCAUUGCCUGCCUGGUAUCUCCAAAUAUUCCAGCUAAUGAAAUUGAGGCCUCUCUGUCACCUCUGCACAGCUUGCAUCUCCCUGACAUUCUCACCAGCUACCUCCCCAGCAGAUUCUCCCAUGCCAACCUCAGCAACAACCCUUAUUUUCCGGUAUCUUUCUUAAAACAUAUAUAUAUAUAUAUAUAUAUCUCUGUGCUAUAUAUCCUUCCUUUUUUUUAAAUUCUAAAAGUACACUUUAAUUUUUGUUCACUAUCAUUUAUUUUAAUAGUUUUAUUUUUCUUUUACCGAAAGAAAGAACGUAUUUUCAAGUAGUAUAACAAAGUGGUUUAUCUUACAAACCAAUUAAAGCGCAUGAUUUGUAUUCCGCUACCAUGUAAUUCAUAAAAUAUAUUAUCAACGGUAAGCUCUUAUGCCCAGAUAAAGAGAAAAAUAUUGUUAAAUAAUGAAAUACAAUAACUUGUUAAUUAAAGUAUUUGAUUACAACUUACAAUUAGUCAAAUCUAGGAAAUCCUACAUGCAUGGAAAGGGAUUGAUCAACCAACCUAAUAAAAGUUUAAGGAUUGGUGGGAGAGAUAAUAGAAAAGCUAAAUGUGAUUCAAGAACACAAAUGGGAUCUAAUUUGAUAAAAAACACUAACAGAGUAGGAUGGUAAUUGAGAAAGGUGAAAAAGAGUUUUUUUUUUUAAAAAAAAAAUUAAUGUUUGGAUGGAUGUGGACCACUAAUUGUUGGGUAUAUUACUGUCCUAUUGAAUCGAAAUGGUAAAUUGCACGGAUUGUCUCCGGAAUUUAGAAGAACUUUUACUUUAACCAUUAUUCUCCUAUUAGUGCACAACCAACUCAUGGUACAAACUUUUUUUUUUACUUAUGGCCAAAAAAAAAAAAGGAUAACAAAAUAGUUUAUAUGUUUUUCCGUAAUAAACAUAUCACAUUUUCCUCAACAAAAAAAAAAAAAAAAAAAAAACAUAUCAUAUGGUGUAGAUCCUAAUGAUUCAGAUAUGAUAUAAUUUAUUCAGUUGCACCGAAAAAUUACCAAAGUAUAUCAAAGAGAGAUAGAAUGCUACUCUUUUCAUUCAUUUUCUUUAUAAAUGAACUUAAUUGAAAAAAUAAAGUAAUUAAGCUUUGAACUUAGAACCUCGGGUCUCAAGUAUCAAGUCCUUUUGCCAGCUAUAUUAGGGAAUAUCAGUCUUAGUAGGAAAUUUGUUGCAUAACCUUCUUGUACAUUCGUCUAUGAGCCGCUUAAACGCUAAAUUGUCACUAUUUUUUUUUUUGGUUUAAAGCAUGAUUUUAAGAUGGAAACAAAUCAUUUGGCAUCAAGUUUACUAUCCAAAAAUACUUUUAGUAAUUAGAUAUAGAUAAAUUUGUUAUGGUUAAAGUAUGGUGAGCUUUUGAGCAAGUUGACAGAAUAGAUAAAGAGUGGAGUCUUUGUAAAUAGAGUGGAAUAAGAAUGAAAAUUUUCAAUCUAACAUAUCUUAUCUAGCGUAUUUGGAUAAAAUUUUGACAGUUGAUAUUCGAGGUUCUAAAUUCGAAAUCUAGUUAAUUAUCUCAAAUUUCUAAUAAAUUUAUUUUUAAAAAUAAAAAAAAUAAAAUAAAUAGUUUACUAAUUAUUUCUUAAACAAAAUCAACAUAGUGAGAUGGUGAACCGAAAAGAAAAAAAAAAAGGAAAACUUCAAAUAUCACUCUUGUAGUUUCACACUUUCUCACUUUAGUACCAUAUGGUUUAAAAUGUAUCAAUUUGGUGGCCUGUGGUUUUAUUUUUAUUUUUUUAUUAUCNAAACCACCAAAAUUCCUACCUGUUUCAUAUUAAUCACAACAAGAUGAUCUUAUAACAUAACCACAAUCAGAUGACCUAACCACAAAGCACAAAGGGCAAUAAACUCAUCAUCGGAUUAGAAGAGAAGGAAAAAUCCCAAAGCAAUUAAGAAAUCAACAUUCAAAUAAGAAACAUCAUAAGAUCUAUUUUUCUUGAUAGGAUGGGUAUGAAAAUUGACCCAUUCCUUUGAUCGUACAACUUUACCCAAAAAGUACUUUUUAACUUUUUAUCGCAUAUUAAUUCCUUUAACAGGACAAGUAAAGGACAAAAACUAACUAACAAUUCACAUUAACCUCACAACUAAAUCGGAAGCUACAUAUUAAACCAUUGUCAUUCGAUUAUUUGUUUAACUAAAAGUUCCUAAGAAGAUGUCAAUUUUUACUACUUUGGCCAUUUUUUAUCAAAUCAAAAUUUAUCCACUCGCUCAUCUAUUCAUUCUUUUUAAACAGUCUGCACCUGAAGUCGAAGUCGCCGAUACGCUCUCACUUUCUGUGACCACCUCCGCCACCGCCACGACGGCGCCGAUCACGCGGUGGCCGAUUCUUGCAUUCCUCUGCGGCGCCAUGUUCUGCCUCCUCACCAGCAGCAUCUGCCAUCUGAUCCUUUGCCACUCCGAGCAGAUGGCCUGCUUCAUGCUCCGCCUCGACUACGCAGGCAUCACCGUCCUCAUCGUCACGUCUUUCUAUCCUUUAGUCUUCUACUCCUUCCUCUGCGACCCCUUCUACUGCGCUCUCUACACGGGCUUCAUCACCGCCUUCGGCACCGCCGCUUUCGUGGCCUCCCUCAUCCCCGUUUUCCAGACUCCCCAGUUUCGGCCAAUCCGAGCCGCACUCUUCGCCGCCAUGGGCGUCUCCGGCAUCGUUCCCAUCGUGCACAAGCUCAUCGUGUUCCACGACCGGCCCGAAGCGGUCGUCUCUACCGGGUACUAUAUAGUACAGCAACAACCGAUUCCUCUAAAAGCUUAAACCACUAUAUGUAAUAUUUUAAGUCAACUUUAGUAAAAUCAUAAUUUUUUAUGGAAUAAAAACUUUAGUGCCAAACAUUUUUUAAGUCAACACAGUAUCCACACAUUUCACCUUGUUUUUUUUGUUCACAUUCCCCGUACCGGGGUGACACAAUUCAUUUCUCGAGAAGCUCGAGCGACUGACAAAAAAUAUUUUAAUAUUUAUAUUCAACAGAUAUGAAGUUCUCAUGGGGGCGUUUUACGCGGCGGGCGUGGUCGUGUACGCGGCGCGCGUGCCGGAGCGGUGGCUCCCCGGAGGGUUCGACCUGGUCGGGCACAGCCACCAAUUGUUUCACUUGCUGGUAAUUGCAGGGGCGUACACACACUAUCUCGGAGGAUUAGUUUAUCUCAAAUGGAGGGACGUGGAAAAGUGCUUAUAAUUAUAACAAUAAUAAUAAGCACAAUAAUAAUCAGAACAAUAAUUAGAAGAGAUUAAUUAGGAGUGAUUUUUGGGGAAGCAAUUCUUUUUGUGUAUGAGUUGGGGGUUAAUCCAGGAUCUCCAACUUGUGCAUAAGCCAUUUAGAGCGAUAGUAGAUUUUAUACACUUUUUAAGAUUGUUUAGAGAAGGAAACAAGAGAAAGAACAGAUGUAUGCAUGCAUUAUGUAUAAUGAGAGGAUCGCAGUUGAUUUGUUGAUUUGUUUGUACUAGUGUGAAAUACUACUUAUAUAUAAAUAAUUUGUGUGAUAUGCUGCUAUUAAGGGUAAGUACAUUUAUUAGAAAUAAGAAUCCUAGCCAGAGUAUAAUAUGUAGGAUUUUUUUAAAAAUUUAUGAGCUUUAAUUUUCAGAGUGGUCUCCCCACAAAGAUGCCUGAUCAUUGGCACCCACCAUUAAUCCCAAAAAUUCGAACUAUUAAAAAGAUACAACGGGUUCAUUUAAAGUGUUCAGGCACAGCGCCCACAAAGUCUCAAUUGUGACUCGCUCUAAUUAGUUUUACGCCACUUCGAACACGACUCAGCACGACUCGACCUACCGCCAUUUCAAAUAUAACUCAGCCCAAUCUGACCUUUCGUCCAUGUGUUCUAAUUUUUAAGAAAGAGGAAGAAGAACAAAAGGAAGACGGACCGGCCAGAUUGCGACUCAGCUUGAGUUGAGUUAAAAGGCCAAGUCAUUUUAGGCCUGGCCAUAUGGCCUUGGAGUUUGAACAUAAUGGGCCUUUAGUGGGCUUCAUCAACACUUUUAAUAUUCUAACUAAAUUUUGUUUUGGGCCUUGAAUUUUUAAUGUUGACACUAAAGAUUCUUAACCUUAAAAAAAAAAUUAUUAAGAGCAAACUAUUGCACUGACCGUCCCUAACACAAGUGGCAAAUGGCUUGAUGGUUAGUAUUCGAGAUCCCAAAUUCGAAUCCUAGUUGAUUCACAUUUCUAAGUAAGUUUAUUUCUAAAUGAAAUAAACAAAGCGGCUAACAUAAUACCUAUCUCUCAAAAAAAAUCGCAAACUAUUGCUCACACUCGGUGCAUAUGUAUAUUUGUAUCUACUAUAUAUUUAUCCACGACCAUUUAUUUUCAUUUACUAAUAAUAUUUUUACUAUCCAAAUAAAUUUAAUAAAGUACUUAGUUUUUAAAGUUAAAAUAUUAUUGACCGGCUAAAAUAAAACAAAUAAAAAAAGUAAGAUAGUAAAAUAAAAAUUUUAAAAAUUAAGUCGUUGAUUCAAAAUGGUCCACAGCUCGAAAUUUUUGUACCUUUUUUAUCAAUUGAAAAAAAAACAGCAAGUACUUUCAUGCUUCCUUCUCCUUUUCAAGGAAGACUACUGUGUGACAGUUACGCCACAUUAUUUAUAUCUAGUUAAUUAUAUGUCUUAUUUUGAAAAAAAAAAAAGUAUAAUAAAAAUAUUUUUUCUAAACAUUAUAAUGUUUUGGAUGAUACCCAGGAACUCAAUUUGAUUGAUUGAAAAUACCACAUCAAAUCAUCAACAAUAUGACCGGCACAUUUUAAACUUUUUCCUCCUUUCCUUCCGGUUUCUUUUUUCUUUUUUAUUUUUUAUUUUUUACAAAUGGUCUUGAAAAGUUAAUAUUUAGAGAAAUAGUCUGCUCUCUUACGCAUGAGCGCCAUGCUGGACAGGAGAGGAUAAUAUAGAAAUUUUUAAUUUAAAUACGAUAAUUCAGUCAUCAUGUUUAAACAAGGUAAUUGGAUAAUCGAGUUUCUUUUUAUAUUUUUCGCUUAUAGUAAAGGAAAAAAAAAUACUGUAAAAUUUAAGAAAGAACACGUUUAUUAAGUCAUCAUGUUUAAAUACAGUAACUGAAUCACCGUGUUUAAUUUAAUAUUACAUUUUUCUGUCCAAUGCGACACAUGCAUAGCAGAAAGAGAAUAAUUUAUACAAAAAUAAAUUUACUCGGAUUAUUUAUAAAUAACUAAAAAGAAAAGAAAAAAAAAACAUUUCUCCCGCCAUCUUCUCCGACUCACCGCGGAGAAAGGCCUACGCGUGGCUGCACGCCAGCCGUUCUUCACCGGUACAGCCAACGCUCCGCAGCCGUCCAAGCCAAAAUUAAUACGCUUCCGUCACGAAUCUUGGCGAGAUAAUCUCCCCGCGCCCACGCGUUCUCCGCUGCGGGUGCUCAAACGUCACCGCCGACGCGACUCCUUUCGUACAACCCCCCUCACUUUUUCUUAAUCCCGCUAAACUCACGUAAACACGACUAUAUUCAAUAUCCGAAUAGUAUAGGGACCAUCCGUAAAUUUUCCCCGCUCACUUUUUCUUCCUUUCUCUUUUUUUUCUCUCUGACACUCCCCGCGCACUCUUUUCCGCGCAACGACGACGACGACGCCACCACCCCCCACGCAGCUCCUCCGCUAAGCUCCCCAUGGCGCGUCCCCCGAAACCCCACUCCUCGUUCCUCUCCGACGCGCUCAUCUUCGCCUCGGGCGCCCUCCUCGCAAUCCUCCUCCUCCUCGGCCUCUCCUCCCUCCACCACCAACCCCCGCUCCUGCUCCUCACCCCCUCCUACGCGCACCCCGCGGCGCCCAAACCCCACCCCGACGACCCCUCCGAACCCACCUUCUACGACGACCCCUCCCUCUCCUACGCCAUCGACUCCCCCGUCGCCGACUGGGACGCGAAGCGCCGGCGCUGGCUCCUCCUCCACCCCUCCCUCUCCUCCUCCGGCGCCGGCGCCGGCGAGCGGGUCGUGAUGGUGUCGGGGUCGCAGCCGUCGCCGUGCCGCAACCCGGUCGGGGACCACCUCCUGCUCCGGCUCCUGAAGAACAAGGUCGACUACUGCCGCCUCCACGGCAUCGAGCUCCUCUACAACACGGCGCUGCUGCACCCCGCGAUGCCGACCUUCUGGGCGAAGAUCCCGCUCAUCCGCGCCGCCAUGCUGGCCCGCCCGGAGGCCGACUGGAUCUGGUGGGUCGACUCCGACGCCGCGGUCACCGACAUGGACUUCGCCCUCCCCCUCCGCCGCUACGCCGCCCACAACCUCGUCGUCCACGGCUGGCCCCACCUCGUCUACGACGAGCGCUCGUGGGUCAGCCUCAACGCCGGCGUCUUCCUCAUCCGCAACUGCCAGUGGUCGCUCGACUUCAUGGCCGAGUGGGCCGCCAUGGGCCCGCGCUCGCCCGACUACGAGAAAUGGGGGAUGACGCUCAAGCGCACGUUCCGGGACAAGGUGUUCAACGAGUCCGACGACCAGUCGGCGCUCGUCUACCUCCUCCUCACCCAAAAAGAAAAGUGGGGCCACAGGAUAUUUCUUGAGCACCAGUUCUACUUCGAAGGCUACUGGGUCGAGAUCGUCGGGCGAUUGGAUAACAUCUCAACAAGGUUUAUAUACAUACAUCUUACUCUAAUCCGCAUAACAAUAAUACUGAUUUGAAGUUGAAGUUGGAUUGAAUUUUAGCCUGUUAGAUGUGUAUAUAGUCAGAAAAUUAAUAUAAAUAAAUGUUAAUUUAAGGGUGUUUUUGGGCCUAGCUAAGAUGUGUGGAUUUAAUAAGGGUACAAAAUUAUUAGUAUUUUAGUUGUAAGGUAUUUGAUAUAAAAAUUUACAUAAAAAAAUUAUAAAAUUUAUUUGAACAGUAUAUAUUAUUUUAAAUUGAUUAUCUAGUAAUUUUAAAUUUUGAUUAUAUUAUUUAAUUAUUUAAUUUAUUUGAUUUGAAUAGGUCAACGUUAUUUUGAAUCUGUUAUUUAUUUUUACAAUUUAUUUUUACGAAUUUAGUUAAUAUUAUCGAACAGUUUUGAAAAUGUGAAUCAACUAGGAUUCGAACUUGAGUUUCGGAUACCAACCACCAAAUCCUUUGUUACUUGCUCUAGGAACAGUCGGUAUCGAACGAUGUUUUAAUAUUUUAUAUUUGGCAGGUACGAGGAGAUGGAGCGGCGGGGGCCGGCGGUGCUGCGCCGUCGCCAUGCGGAGGCUGUCGCCGCGGCCGUUCAUCACGCACUUCACCGGGUGCCAGCCGUGCAGCGGCGACCACAACAAGCUGUACUCCGGCGAGAACUGCUACGAGGGCAUGCGCCGCGCCCUCACCUUCGCCGACGACCAGGUCCUCCGCAACUACGGCUUCCGCCACGCCGGCCCCCUCAGCGACGACGUUCGGCCCCUCCCCUUCAAUUACCCGGCCACCGCGGCCUAGCAGUAGCAAUAAGAGUUACUUGCACCAGCUGAUUUUAUCGGCCUUUACUCUUCUUUUUUUUUCAUUUUGAUCUCCAAUCUUCUUAUUUCUGUAUUAGAAUUAACGGUUUUUUGAAUAAUGGAUAGGAUAAGAGAUCAAAUUGUGAAAAAACUGGAAUAAAGGAUUAGGAUCAUUGGUGCAAUUUAACACUAGCUAGCUAAUUACGGUGGUGGAUUAGUUUAAAAGAAAUAUUUGUUUAAGAAAUAGAAACAGUAUGUGUUUAAUUAUAUAUAUGUUGAUGUGGUAGGAACCUGAAAUGAAAUGUUGCUUAGGAAUCUUUAAUAAAAAGAGUUGUUUUAUUUUUAGUGGCGUAAUCUUCGGAGGGAUAUAUGCGUUGCUUGUUUGUGUUGAAAAUAGAGCCCUUUUAUGUUUUCUGCAGCUUUAGUUGCGGAGACAUUGUUGUUCGCUGCACCGGGUUCUCCACGUCAGCAUGUGGAUCGCUAGUGGGUUGGUCUAACUCUCUGAGAUAAAGGUUUCUGUAUGAUGAAAUGAAAGGUUCACAUAGCACGUGGUUUUUCAUUUUUUUUAUUUUAGUAUUUUUAGUUUAAAGUGUAUUAAGUUAGUGUACUGUACUUUUUUUUUUUCUCAGUUUUUCUAUUAAUAUUUCGUUAAAUUAUAUAUAAAAAAUUUUAGAUACUUCACCUAAAUUUAUCGAAUAUUCACUUUAGUACCUUUUAGUUUUAAUUUUGUCACUGAUUUAACGAAAAAGUUAGUAAAAUCGAUAAUAAAAAGAUAAAAAUAAAAUUACAGAACACUAAAAUAAUACAUUUUAAAUCAUAAGUUAUUAAAGUGAGAAAGUGUGAAAUCACAGAUAAGAAUUUUAAUACUGCAGCAAGGAAUUGUGUCAGAAACUUAUUGAUACUGUACGACACGGUGCGUACCCGACCGUGCCGAUGCAUGCCGGUCACAAAAUAUUCAUGUGUGCUAAAAAUUCAUUUUGUGUUUUGUGCAGCUUUAGUCGUGGAGAGAUUGUUGUUCGCUGCACCGGGUUCUCCACGUCAGCAUGUGGACCGCCGGUGCGUUGGUCACUCCCUGUUUCUGUAUCACUGUAUAAUGAAACGAAAGGUCCACACGAUGACGUGGUGCACCACUUCCGAACUCUGUGGAUUUUGUGGGUGAAUUAAAAAAGUAAUUUUUAUUUUAAUUCUCCUAUUCUCAAACAUUAAAUUAUUAUUUUUUAUUUAUAUAUUUUAAAUUGGUAUAAAAUUAUUAGCUAUAUAUUAACAAAUUGUUAAUAUAAAGUUAAUAUAAUAUUUUAAUUAUUGCCAUAUUACAGAUCAUAAUAUUUUUAUCACUUAUAUUAACUAUUAAUCAUUAUUUAGCUAUCUAAAUUAAAUCAUAAAUAAUUUAAUUAAACUAAAAAUUAUAUUAAAUUAAAGUUUAAAAAUAAAAAAUACCAUGCACUAUCUAGUUUUGUACCAAAAGUGUAAUUUAACAUGCGCGCACACACACACAUACAAAAAAAAAAAAAAAAAAAAAAAAAAAAAAGAGCAAACAUUUGAUGCGUUACGGACACGGGAGUUGCAUGGGAAAAAUGAGCGGCUCAUAGUUGCGCGACACGUGUACGAUUUCAACGGUCGUUAGUGGACACCUCGCGCAUUUGCAUGCACGAUAACGUCACGGCAGUUAAGGUUGGUUGGUUGUUUUUGUUUUUAUUUUUAUUUAUUAUUAUUGUUAUUAUUAUUUUACUAUCUUGCUUUGAAGUAAAUUAUUUGUAUCGGGUGUUAAUAAUGCCCGGAUCCACGAAACUCUUUACCCAAUUUUUUCGCCUUGGGCCAAAUUUAUUGUUUUGGAGGAUUAAAGUGUAUAAAAUUUAUCUGUACUUUAGUCCGUUUUACAUUAAGUAUUUAAUCUUUUAAAAUUUUAAUACUAGUACUUAAUUCUUUUAUUAAUUUGUUUCGAGCCAUUUGAUAGUUCUUUUCGUAUAAAAUUAAAACUUAUUACUAAUUUUUAUAACAUUAUGGUCCCACAAAUUAUGUGGAAUAUACUAAUCCAACUCCGAAAUGCGAACAACAUAUUCAAAUUGUAGUCUACGACUCGGCAAACGACUCAAAUGAAAUGAAUUAAAAUAUUCGAUAGUAAAAUCAAAAAUUACGAAGGAUAGAUAGUUAGAUCAAAAUCGGCAAUAAUUCAAGUAAAUUUUAUAUAUUUUUAUUUUUUUUUCUGUUAGCUCUCUAACUUUUAUAUUUUGUUUCAGUUGGGUCUCUACCGUCCUAAUUUUUAUUAAUUGUAACAAUAUAUGUGACGUCUACUCUAUUAAAGCACUACUUAUUUAUAUAGAUCACAGUUAUUGUCCGAUUGCUAAUAAUCAAUUCGAGCACCGACUUUUUUAAAUUUCUGAAAUAGCUGGACAGCACGUUCGGCUCAAUGUCAAAAGUGUCGAGCCUCCAAAUGAAACUGCAGAAUCGUGUCGCAAGGUUGAGAUGAUUGUAUGCAUUGAAGGUGGUGAAUUUGGGCUUUUAUGGUAUGUGCAUGCAUAUGGUAGAAGAGGAUAGGGACAAUAGCGAAAAAAAAAAAAAAAAGAUGAAAUGUUAGAGACCACUAUAAUUUUAAAGGUUAAGGAUCGAUUGCAAAACAAUAGAUUGUUGCAACAAAUUAAAAUAACAAGAUGAGAAAAGAAAUGGAUAGAUUUGACCAAUCUACGAAAAUUUGGAUGAGCUCAAUAAGCAUAGCUUUAAGAUGCUUCGUCCCAUGAAUUAUAUUUAAUAAUGAUGUAAUGAAUCAGUUUAUUUUAAUUUUUCCACCACUAGCUUUAAUUAAUAUAGUNAACUAUCAUGUAGAUACAUUUUUUUAUCUCAGACAGCGAUCCUAGCUUGUGCAUUUAUGUUAAUUUGCAUCAUCAUUCUCAGGUGAUCAACUAAAAUUAUCGCUUUUUCCCGCCACAAUUUGAAGCCUUUUUCGUUUAGAUGCUGAAAAAGUAAUUUUCACUGAAUUAAUUUUGAUUUAUAAUUAUUAAUUCUUAGUUUUAAUUAUUAGUUGUUUCAACCCGUUUCGGCUCAGUAUUAACCAAUCUGAUAUUUGAAAAAUCGUACCAGCUGGCGGGUAGGUUAAAUCUGUUUUUUUUUUUGUUUUUUUUUUUGUUUUUUUUUUUUUUUUUUAAAUCGUACUUACUUGCAUUAAAUACCUUUUUUUAGUCACGUAUAAACAGUCUUGAGUUUAUUAUAAUUUUUUUUUAUAAAACUAUCAUUAUACUAUUUCAUCAAUAUUGGUAUACCCACGAGCAGAGCCACAUAGGCUUAUAUUAGAAAUGAGUUUAGUUUAUCAUUCAUCGUCAAUAUGAAUGGUGUAUUACAUUAUGUCAAGAGAUCGAAUCUUAAAGCAAUAGAAAUGGUGUAUUAUACUGUGUCACCGCGGGAUGGUGCUGGUGCAAAGUGGAAGAGAGAAUAUAUAUGAGAGUUGAGAGCUGCUCAUGGGAUCUAUCAUUGGUAACUGCGUUUUAUCUCCAAAUAGUAAUGGUGAAGGAAAAAACCAUCCUUUACAUAUGAUCUCAUGAGAAAGAAAUGGCCCAGUCAAGGUCGAAGCUAGGAUUCAAUCUUGAGGAGGGCCAAAAUAUAUUUAAAUAGAAACUUUAGUAAUAAAUAAUAAACAAAAUUUAUCCUAAUUAAAAAUUUUUUAUUAAAAAAUUAUUAAUUAAAUAAAUAAUGUAAAAGUAUGAACUUUAUUUUUUUUAUUUUCAGAUGUUUAACUUCUAAUUAUUUUAUUUAUAUUAUUAUAUUAGAAAUUUUACUAAAUUUAACAGUAAUUUUUUAAUUUUUUAGUAAAUAAAAUUAACAUAGUUAUUAAAUUUAAUACAAUUCUUGAUUUAGUCAAAUAAAAGAGCUCACCUAAGAUAAAUAAAAAUUUUUAAAAAUUAUUAAAUAAAAUUUUUAGAGUAGAGAAAUAUAUUUUAAAAUACUCUAUAAGAAAGAAGCUUUUAAUAUAUUUUCACUCAUAAAAAGAGUAUACCGAUUAGGAGAAAGAGAGAGAAAGUUAUAUUGGCACCAUACUAUUAAAUAAAUAUAAAAAAAUUAGGGGGGCCAAAAUUAUCCAUGGUCCAAAAAAAAAAAAAAACCUUUGAAGGACCAUUAAACAAAUAUUGAAAAGUUGAGGAGAGCCAUGGCCACUUUGGGCCUCCAUGUAGCUUCGUCCCUGAGCAUAAUAAUCUUCUCAUAGUUUUAAUUUCUUACUCUUUUCAUUUUAUAUUUCAUCUUUUGAUGUUAUAUGCUAUCGCGUGUGUAGGCCGAAAAAAAAAAAGAGAAGUACUAUUAUAGGUUCCAAAGAAUGUUGUUUUUAAUGAUAUGUUGCUAAUGUGAUGAUACUUGUAGUAUAUAUAAAGGUGUUAACUCGAUUGUGUAAGGCUUCGUUUGGGAUUACGGAGAGAUUGCAUUACGUGCGGUGAGAAAAUAUGACGUAAAUAUACUUUGUUUGUUUUCAUAUGUAAUAUUGCGUUCCGCUUAUCGUGAUGAGUCGGUUACGAUCGAUAUAUUUUCUACGGUCCCACCGGUAUAUGCUUUUAUCCCAACUCUAUUUUAUCUAAUAACGUCAGAUUAACCUCAAUACCAAACUAAGUAUAAAAUCACUAUUUCUUUCUAAAAAGCUAAGAUCUUUAUUAAUUAGAUUAGAAUUCUACUAAAGUGCUCAUGUUUUUGUGUCAUGUAAAAUAAUUAUUUGCCCCUAAAAAUUCAACAUGUUAGAGAAUGAUGUUUUAAUAUCUUUGCAAAAUAUGACAUAAAUUUGUCAACCNAGUUAUGUUGGCACCAUACUAUUAAAUAAAUAUUAAAAAACUAGGAGGGCCAAAGCUAUCCAUGGUUCAUUAAAAAAAAAAACUUUGAAAAACCAUUAAACAAAUAUUGAAAAGUUAAGGGAGGCCAUGGCCAUCUUGGGCCUUCACAUAGCUUCGUCCCUGCCCCAGUCAAGAAUUAAAGUCCCCAUCGGUAUGGGCCGUAUCCACCGUUAUCGUAUCGUGUCACCAGAAUAUCAGUAUGAUAUCAGUAUGAUACAGCACAACUUAAAACCCUCUAUUGUUGAAAUUAAUAGAUAAUUUUUUCAAUGAAGUUCAAAAAAUGCGAUAAAAAUACAUAAUAAAUAAUUAACAUAUUUUGUUGCUAAAAAAAAUAAAUAUUUCAUACCUUUACGUGUUGGCACACAUAUUUUGUUUUUAACCGGCAUGCAUUGGCACUACCCUGCACACACCGUGUCGUACCGUGCCGCCAAAUUUCCGAUACGACUCUAUGUCACAACACUUUAAUCCUUGGCCCCAGUAACAUCAAACCUGAAAACUUGUACAUAGACUACCCAAAGAAUCGAGGAUAAUGCAGAAUCAUUAAAUAUGGACACAAACAAAGAUUGAUCAAGCCCAGUUCUACAUAACUAUGCCUGAUGAAAAAAUGAAAAGGGUAAAAAAAAAAAAAAAGAGGAAACAACUUAAGGCCAAGAGAAGAGUAUCCAUGAGCAAAUUGCAUAAAAUAAGUUAAAACUCAACAAUAGAGACCGCUAGUUCAAGUGUAGAAUACUCACAGCAAACACCACAUGACAGUCGAAUUGGAGGUACAAAAUUAUAAAAACAGAGCACACUCAGCUGACAAUUUUACCCACAAAUCCUAAUCCUAAUGUCGAAAAGAAAAUAAAUUACAGCUAUAUUUAUCACAUUGUUUUUAGGAUCUAAUCGCUAAAAUGUUACCAAGAGAAUAGCACCCCAGUUAUGAUUGUAUACCCAAGAAAACAAGCUCCCAUCAAGAAGAUCCCUUCCCAUCAGAGUCGUUAAGAUUGCAUAGCUUCCUCGUCGUCUCCAUCUUGCGGGACCUCGUUGAACAUGUACUGGCUCUGAUACUCCAUCAAAUACUGCGUCGACCUCUUGACAUCCAGGAACAGCUGGUACACCCGACUUAUGUCCUCCAUCUCUACCACCUUACCCUUGCGUUUCUGGCAUGCCAGUGCGGCGGCUGUGAUGAGAUGGAUCGCGUACCUCAACGAGGUCUCGACCCCGAUCUUCGUCAACAAUACCUUGGCGUCUUUAGACAUCUCCACCUCUUCUUCGUCGCACCUAAUAUCUAGAAUCUGCCUGAUCUCCUCUUCUGUGUAUGGCUGGGUGUUUAUUAUUAGCAAACGGUCAAGGAAGUCGGGGGGGAUGCCGUGGGGGGACUUGUAGUUCGUGCCGCGGAUCUUCGUGAUGCCGCGGUUGGUGGCGAUGACAAGGAUUGGUGCCAUCUCAUUCUCAAGGGCGCGGUUGAGGAAGGAGAAGCACUCGAUGUCGAGCAUGUGGACCUCGUCGAUGAAGAGGACGCCCGGGAUUAUCUCCGCUUUGCCUUCCUCCCGCCACUCUGCCACUUUCAUGUCGAUCUGCUCCCUCACUUCUGCUCGGAUCUCGCCAGUGUCGCCGGUGAAGAGUGCGAGAAAGCCCUGUGUUCUGGAUGGUGGGUAAUCAACAGAAACGAACAUAAGACUUAAAGUGGGAUGUUUGAGAGUAAAUAGCCUAACUACUUUAUGUUAUUGAAAGAAAUUAAAUUACUAUCAACUGUUAUACCAAGGUAUCUGUGAUCGGAAUCAUCAGAAAUUCCUUAAACAAUAUUGGCACCAAAAUAAUAUCCAAUUCUUCGGACGUCAAAAUAGAUAUCCGGAAAUUCUCACAGUAGUAAAAUAUCGUGACACCUUAUUGGCAUAUCUGUUAAUCAUAGAACAUGAUUCAAGGUUUAUCAUAAAGUACAGCUGCAAACAAGAGGCAACUUGUUUAGGAUUCGGUUUUCUCAGGGUAUCUUAGAUUCAAAAGAGUGGCUGCAACGAUUUAUUAGCAACAUCCAAUAAUGUAGGGUGAAUUGGGAAUUGUCCAUACAAACCCUCUUAAGCAACGAACACCACCAGUUUAACCCAAUUCUGUAGAGCACCUUGUUAAAAAGGUUGGUUAAAAAUAUGAUCUACUAACUAUUUUGGUCAUAUUAGGAUUAAGGCCACAAAAAUUGUAUUACCAUGCCUGCAAAAACUAUCAAAACAAUAAUUUGUUUCCCUUUCUCAUACAAUUUAUCUGUAUAUCCUGCGACAUCAGAACAGCUUUUCAAAAAGGUAUUCUACAAAGAAACCCUAUACAAAUAGCAGGGCAACUUAAGCUUAAAGCACCCAACCUUAAAUAGUAAAUAUUGACCGCAUUUCAGCUCGCUCUAAAACAAACCUUCGCCAAACCAGUCUCUCAACCUACACAGAGAAAGUAACACAAUUCACUUACAGUUGCCAUUUAUCAACUUGCCAUCUUGCUGACCAAAUUAAGCAGAUUAGAGAGUUGAUAAGGUCAGCUAACACUGACUAGUAGCUGGUUAGAAUGGGUUCAGAAACAAUCCUACACAGCCUCUAAAUUGAAGGUUAACCUUGUACAAAUGAUUUUAACUGGAACACUUUGCAACUUCACUGGUAUUAAGAUACCAUAAAGAAGUAAACCAACAUUUUAUAUUCUUUCCGUGCUCAGUAGAUUUUAAAGCAAGAUUCCACAUCCGACAGUGCACGACCAAGAAUCACAUAUAUGCUUCGUCAUUAUUGUAUAUAUUUCAAAGGUUCCAUUGCCACUCUGGAAAGAGACAAACACAGAAGGAUAGUCUAGAAAUGAAGACUUGUGUCACCCAUUUCUCAUCAUAGCUGGCUCUUGCAAGAUUGUCAAUACAGGCUUGGGCUGGCUGGUCGGCAUUGAUCCCUGUCCAACCAGAACGGCAUUUUUAUGGACUUGAUUUUAUCUGACCCAACAUUUUCCUAAAGCCCAAGCGGAUUGACUUAUUAAACCAUCAACUGUUCCUUAACAAACUGGUUCAUAAGUUAAAUACGCAUGGACACCCACUCAACUUUACGCCAUUGUGCAAUAGGCGCUCGAACUUCUUUUAAUUGAGACUGCCUAGACUCUGUUUUCUGUGAUUUGGUUUGCUUAAGUCAAUUGCAUGGAAGAUUUUGCUAGAUAAUGAGGUUAUUUCAGUCAAAUUUCACAGCAAUUAAGAUCAAAUUCAAGUUCCACGGCAAUCAAGCAUUCUCAACUAAGUCGAGAAAAACAGUGGGUGGUACUAGUAAUCUGUUCGACACAGGUACCAUAUAUUUUCCACCUGGGCCGAUUUUUCAUACUGAAAGACUCCUCUAAAAGGGAGACAUGUUGCUCAUACCUCUUUUUCUUGUCCCAAAUCAUCUUCUCAGGCUUAAAUUUAUUCUGGAAAAAGGACUCCUAAAACCAAUACUAGCCAAACUGUUUACAUUCCUUUUCUAUUUAAAAGACCAAACAUCUCCUUUAGGAAAUUGAUUUAAAAACAAUAUUCUCCAACAAGAUAGACAAGAUAACUUUUAUCAGCCCAAAUUCUAUCUGACUCAAGGUUAUUAACCAUUGAACUGCAGUAGACUCAAUAACACAAUCAACUUAAUUGAACCAUAUUUGAACCAAACUGACUCAAAUUCGCUACAAAAGAGAAUUUAAAACUCAACCUCAUAGUAGAUUAAACCCAAUAUCCCAGAUUGAUUUUAAACAAUUUCCAUGGAGACCAAAAGUUUCAGAAACAUCGAUAACAUGCAUUAAACAUCUGCUCUUACAAUAUUAGGAACUUAUCCAAAAGCAGAGGUUAGAACAUAAGUUCUCGAAUUUGACUAAAUUUCCAGCUAACUUCAAGCCAGGGCCGAGACUUCCAAGUUUACAAUUGUUCUGUCAAACCCAACUAUAAACCCUCAGUAAUUCCUCCCCACUCAAUCCUUGUUCUACCAAUUAAUCAAAACCAUGAUACUGGAUACUUCUUGCCCAUUCCAUUCACUUCUUUUAUUUAUCUUUUGCCAUUAUAAAUGAUUUUGUACUUAAAGCACCACCCACUGUUAGAGGCCAAAACAGCACGAAAGAAUCAAUUGCACUUGAUGUAUUCUCAAUUCUUUAUAUCAGCCUUUGUCUAACUCUUCUUCUAUGCCCACUAUUACUGAUCCAACUUUGUUUUUGGUUAGCCGAUACUCCACGGCAAACAAGCUAAGCCCUAUAACUACAUUCAAAGCAUAGCAAAUAACAAUGCCAAUUUCAAUUUCUUAAUAGAAUAGACAAUAAAGAACAUAAAUUCCAAUAGUACAAGUACAUUAAAAAAAAUGCUAUUUUGCAGGCGGAGAAGCGAUUAUACUUGACGUAUUCUCAAUUCUUUAUAUCAGCUUUUGUCUAACUCUACUUCCAUGCCCACUACUAUCGAUCCAACUUUGUUUUUGGUUAGCCGAUACCUGACAGCAAUCAAGCUAAACCCUAGAAUUACAUCUAAGAAAUUAAAAAAAAAUGCGAUUUUGCAGGUGGAGAAGAGGAAAUAAGACCUGCUGUUGAUGACGUCAAUCUCGUGGAGGGUGACGCAGUGCACAACCUCCUUCCUCUUCUGCAGCUCGCCCUCGGGGCAGCGGACGAACUUGGUGUGAGGACCGACGGCGUCGUAGUCGCGGGAGCGCCCGACGGAGCGGCCGAGCUUGGUGACCUUGCCGGAGGCCUUGUCGAGGGCGAUGACGUCGCCGCUCUGCACCUUCUCCCUGGCGAGCGCCUCGAUCAUCUUGCCGCCGAGCUCGUAGACGGUCUCCAUGUCGGUGGUCUUGAGGGUGAGGCGCCCGGUCUUGGAGGCGGCCGAGGGGGGUAGGGUUGCGGAGGAGGAGGAUGAGGGGUGGGGGUUGGGGUUGGAGGAGGAGGAGGGGUUGGUGUUGGCGUUUGCGUUGGGGUUGGGGGAGGAGGCGGAGGCGGCGGAGGAGGAGGAGGCGGGGCGGUCGAUGGCGAUCUCGACGACCUCGCCCUCGAUGACCUCGGCCUCCUCCUUGAUGCGGACGCCGACGGAGCGGCGGAAGGCCUGGGUGAGGGCCUCGGUGCGGGAGAGGUCGAGGGAGAAGAGCUCGGAGGCGGAGAGGGUGGCGAAGGGGGUGUCGGGGCCGAGGGACUUGGCGAGGCCCAUGGCCACGGCGGUCUUGCCGGUGCCGGGCUGGCCGGCGAGGAGGACGGCGCGGCCGGCGAUGCGGCCCUCGCGGAUCAGCCGCAGGAGGAGGCCGGCGGCGCGCCGGGCGGGGAGCUGCCCCACCAUGCCCUCCGACACCGCGCGGGCCUCCAACGACGCGUCCAGCCCCAGCCCCCGGAUGUGCGAGUGCGCGCCGAUGCGCUCGAUGCGCGUCAGGUCCCGGCUCUCCGACAGCCGCUUCAGCUCCGGCGUCGUCGCCAUGGCUACGGAGUUGGGACGAGAGGCCGGGACGAAGGGUGUUCGGAGAAAUGCGCGAGAGAGAGCGAGAGGCAGACGAAAAGUAAGGGUCGGGGUUUUGAAGCGAGGGUUUUGCCUCACGUUUAUUUAACUUUUCUCGAAGAAGCGGCGCACUGGACGGGUAAAUUUGCACUUUAGUCCCUUAACUUUUCGCUAAAUUCACUUUCGUCCUAAACUUUUUAGUUCCUGUUAAUGUUUUCUUUUGCGUUUGUUGCACUGCUGCUCUUCAAACUUAAUUUCCAAAAAAGCUUCAGUUCUGACCCUUUUUUGCCAUUAAAGUACAUAGAUUAAAUAAAAGGAGAGAUCAAUAAAAAACAUUAGGCGAUCGUUCGGAGGAUAUAUAUAUAUAUAUAUAUAUAGUGAGGUUACUAUGCUAUUGGAAGCACGGAGCCUUCCGUGUUUUCAGCUCGUUUUCGAUAUUGCGACUUUCGAAUCGUCGAUCGGCUCCAUUAAACUUAAUCUAGAGUAUUUGGAGUAACUAGAAAAUAAAUUUUAUUAUUUUUCGAUAUUAUUUGCCUAGUGAUCGAAUGGGCACAAAAUCAACAAAUUUCAAUGGCCGUAGUGAGCCGUUUGCAAAUUUAACGGUGUAGAAAUAUCCAAAUCACGCGAAAUUUUGAUAAAAAAUUCUUUAUACUAUAUAAAACUAGAUCAAUACUUUGAUUUAAAAUUUUAAUGUUAUAUUAUUAUAUUUUGUAAGAUUUUUAUUUUCAGCCGUUGAUUUUGAGCCCCUUCGUUCACUAGGCAAAUGAUAUCGUAAAAUCAUAAAAUUUAUUUU
rnacentral:lncRNA from 1 species